rnacentral:lncRNA from 1 species
GGCCGGUUGUUCAAAGGUGGGUUAGCGCUAGCCCUGGGUUAAAAUUUAACCUGCUGUUUUAGUUUGUGUAUUUCUGCACGUCUGUUUAUUUCAAAACUUCAGAGAAGUGAACUCCUAUCGAUCCAGACAAGAUCUCUGAAGAAAUAUUUCCAAAUUUAUAGACAAGCUGUCAGGAAGUUUGCUUUGAAUUUUAGGUUAACCUAGGGUUAAGCUAACCCAGCUUUGAACAA